CCCCCCCCCCUUUUACCGUUUCCCUAUUUUUUACCAAUAAACUGUUGUUAUAAGCCUCGCUUUUUCGUAAUUUUGAUGGUAUAAUGCAAAUGUUGAAUUGAAUUGCCAUUUCCUUAUCUGUAAACUCUAAAAAGUCAAUGAACCGUGAAUGAAGUCACACUGUGAAAUAAUCUUCAUGGACAAGAGAAAUACAAAUGCAUACCGAAUAUCAUUGAUUGAUCGUUACUCUCCUUAGAUUGAAUCGAUCUCAAACUAAUGUAAACUAAGCAAAAGUUUCAAAGUCAAGUGUUUAUCAUUCUCCUUAUGUUUUUCCUUUUAAUUCUUUGCUUUAGUUUCAUAAAUGUACGCAGAAUUGGCAAGUACCUGUUUGCACAUUUUAAUUUUUAAUUUCACAAAACACUCCUAUAGCCUGUAAGGCCUGUACUUUUUGUUUUUGUUUUAUCCAAGGAAAAUUAUAGCAGUAUUUAUCAUAACUCAAUUUGCAAUUUUCAAUGAAGAUGUGGAUAUAAUUAAAAAUGCUUUGCUGUUCAUCGAUGGUUAAAUUCGCCCACGAAUUGUCCUUAGAACAAAAUUAAUGUUCCUAAACCUACUGCACAGUAUAAAAAAAUAAGGGCGAAACCUACCAAAAGGACAAUAUAGAAAAUGAACUUAUAUGGCAAGAAAACUUAAGAUUGAAAUCACGACCCCCAUGAAAAACCGGGGUGAUUUUAAGCAGAUCUUCAUCCACAUGUGACAGCCGUCUUGUUGCUCUUAAUUAAGUACAAAAACGGUGACAGGUAUCAUUCGGUUGGUCACACUCGUUGAAAAGGAGGACGAGCUUGUAGUUAAGACGGUCGUCAUCUAUGAAACAUAUAUGCCAUAACGGUCAACUCGUAUUGUUAAAAGUUAAAGUAGUAUAGCGUUAACUUUGUGACAUGUGUCAAAAUGCUUAAGGAGGACGAGCUUGUAGUUAAGACGGUCGUCAUCUAUGAAACAUAUAUGCCAUAACGGUCAACUCGUAUUGUUAAAAGUUAAAAUAGUAUAGCGUUAAUUUUGUGACAUGUGUCAAAAUGCUUAUUGAGAUUAUCCACGGUGUAAUGCAAAGACAUUUCACCUUUCAUAUGACCGAUGUUUCUUAUUAAAAGUAGACGAUAUACUUUGCUAUUAUUUCUAAAAAUGACCCGCGUUUAGGGAAACGUAGAAAAGACAACAUUUAAAGUCAAUAAAUUGAUUUGGACCAGAAUCAAACAGCGGCCUCAUGCACUCGUGGUGUUCAAUAGUUUAUAUUUUUUUGUCAAGCUAAGAAUGAUAUUUUCGCAUGUUUCGAACAGUAAACGUGUAAAUAUCGAUAUAUCGAUCGUUAAUUAUUGGAAAGCGGCCAUGUUGAACUGUCAAAUCAAGGUGCUGAUUUUUUUCAUGCUUAAGGUCGGUUUAAGUGUUAGAUUAAACAUAAGAGGAUGUG
rnacentral:lncRNA from 1 species